rnacentral:rRNA from 1 species
CAGCAGCCGCGGUAAUACGGAGGAUCCAAGCGUUAUCCGGAAUCAUUGGGUUUAAAGGGUCCGUAGGCGGUCUUGUAAGUCAGUGGUGAAAGCCCAUCGCUCAACGGUGGAACGGCCAUUGAUACUGCAGGACUUGAAUUAUUGGGAAGUAACUAGAAUAUGUAGUGUAGCGGUGAAAUGAUUAGAGAUUACAUGGAAUACCAAUUGCGAAGGCAGGUUACUACCAAUUGAUUGACGCUGAUGGACGAAAGCGUGGGUAGCGAACAGGAUUAGAUACCCCCGUAGUCCCUGUCUCUUAUAC